AUUGAACGCUGGCGGCAGGCCUAACACAUGCAAGCCGAGCGGAUGAGAGGAGCUUGCUCCUUGAUUCAGCGGCGGACGGGUGAGUAAUGCCUAGGAAUCUGCCUGGUAGUGGGGGAUAACGUUCCGAAAGGAACGCUAAUACCGCAUACGUCCUACGGGAGAAAGCAGGGGACCUUCGGGCCUUGCGCUAUCAGAUGAGCCUAGGGCGGAUUAGCUAGUUGGUGAGGUAAUGGCUCACCAAGGCGACGAUCCGUAACUGGUCUGAGAGGAUGAUCAGUCACACUGGAACUGAGACACGGUCCAGACUCCUACGGGAGGCAGCAGUGGGGAAUAUUGGACAAUGGGCGAAAGCCUGAUCCAGCCAUGCCGCGUGUGUGAAGAAGGUCUUCGGAUUGUAAAGCACUUUAAGUUGGGAGGAAGGGCAGUAAGUUAAUACCUUGCUGUUUUGACGUUACCAACAGAAUAAGCACCGGCUAACUUCGUGCCAGCAGCCGCAGUAAUAC
rnacentral:rRNA from 1 species